rnacentral:rRNA from 1 species
UGGGGAAUAUUGCACAAUGGGCGCAAGCCUGAUGCAGCAACGCCGCGUGAACGAUGAAGGUCUUCGGAUCGUAAAGUUCUGUUGCAGGGGAAGAUAAUGACGGUACCCUGUGAGGAAGCCCCGGCUAACUACGUGCCAGCAGCCGCGGUAAUACGUAGGGGGCUAGCGUUAUCCGGCUUUACUGGGCGUAAAGGGUGCGUAGGUGGUCUUUCAAGUCGGUGGUUAAAGGCUACGGCUCAACCGUAGUUAGCCUCCGAAACUGGAAGACUUGAGUGCAGGGGAAGAAAGUGGAAUUCCCAGUGUAGCGGUGAAAUGCGUAGAUAUUGGGAGGAACACCAGUAGCGAAGGCGGCUUUCUGGACUGCAACUGACACUGAGGCACGAAAGCGUGGGUAGCAAACAGG